AAGUGUUUCCAAGAGGGCUUCAGAUAAACUGUGGUUGAAGAGAAACACACUUUCCAAACUGUGUCAAGGGCUCAUAUGCACAUGACUUGUGCUUACUGAUCCGUACUGAAAUUUCAAUCUGAAACUUUUUGAGAGCAUGUGCCAAAGCAUCACAUAUCCUCCCUCCAGUUAAGCCCUCGGUGGGAAGUCUCGCUGCUUCAUGACCACAGAUGGGAAGGCAAUCCACUCCCUCGCUUAAACAGACUCUCCCAGCUCAACUCAGAGGAAUCUCUCCGAGCAGCUGGAGCUGGCAAUGACUCGGGCAAUAUUAGCACACAGCUUCAGCCUGGUAAUCUCAUCACCAGCCUCAUUGGAUGAGGUUAAUAUUGCUAUGUGCGGCAUUCAGUGCUGCCUUCUUUUGGGAGAAAGGAAAUAGGGCCAUGCCCUCGGGCGCUCCAUGUCCUUGUGCAAACAGGAAGAAGCUUCUUGGCCUUGGAAGCUCCUGGAAAUUUCGUGGAGAGCCAAGAUAUUUCUCUUCAGAAAUCUCUCUUCAGGUACCUCCCACGCCACACCAUGAGCCGUGGUGCUCUCAGCUGCCGAAACACAGUCAGAAAUAAGGGCUGUGAGACAUCUACACCAGAACUGCAUGCCUUGAAAACUUGAAAAUGGUGGACUUUGACUCCCUUCUUCCACGGGAGGACAGCAUUUGGACAAGGCACCAGCGGAAAAAAUAUUCCUCUGUCUUGACUUCUACUGGACUAAGACAGCAUUCCUGAACAAUCUGGGCGCCCUCCAGAAAUACAGGUAGUCCUCGACUUACAAUCAUUUGUUUAAUGACCAUUUGAAGUUACAAUGGCACUGAAAAAAGUGACUGGCAAUUAGUCCUCACAUUUACAGCCAUUGAAGCAUCUCCAAGGUGACGUGAUCAAUAUUCUGGCUUGGCAAUAGGCAUGUAUUUGCGACAAUUGCAGUGUUCCAGGGUGAUGUGAAUGCCACUUGGGAUCUUUCCAGCUGGCUUCCAACAAGCAAACUCAACGGGAGAUGUUGGAUUCAUUUAAUGACUGAUUCGCUUGAAAACUGCAAUGUUUCACUUAACAACCAUGGUCCAAAAGGACAUAAAAUCACUUAACUACUUAAUGGUUAAUGACAGAAAUUAUGGCUGUAAGUCAAAGACUGCCUGCAUAGAACCCAACUUCCAGAAUCCCCAGCCAGCAUGGCCAUGGGUGAUGAUUUUGGGAGUCCACAUCUAUAAACGUUGAAGGUAUUCAUGAUAGAAAAAACUGGACUAAAGUUUCACUCUGUUUUCUGGAUCAUGUUCCCAUCAGCUUCGUUCUCUGGAACACGAUGGCAACCUUGUUCCACACCAAGACCGGAGGCCAUGUCUGUGAGUGACUGACGUAUCUCUCUGGAAACUCCUCCCAUACCACACCACAAGUUGUGGUGCUGUCAGAUGCUGGUGCAAAGAAAAGGAGCUGUGAGAGAUUCACACCAAAAUUACAUGGUCAUUAUAAGAUUACAAACAUGAAUUCUUAGAACCUCCGUGAAUCAAUAUGGUAUUCUUUGCUUUGGGGACUGGGGGCUUAUUUAUUUCAGGGGUGGACCACAUCUGCCCGUGGGCCAGCAGUUGCCAACCCUCACUCUAAAGCAGAGUUUCUCAACCUUGGCAACUUGAAGAUGUGUGGACUUCAAUUCCCCAAAUUCUGCAACCAGCAUGAAGUCUACACAUCUUCAAGUUGUCAAGAAUAAGAAAUAUUGUUCUCUAGAGCAUGUGGUCAUUCCCAUCAGCAUUCAACCAGAGAGUGAGGUUGACUCCUGACACUGGAAGACAUGCAGUGAUAAGAUAGCCCAAUUUAUGUAGCCUUAACCCACUUGUUUGUGUAUCGGUAAACUAUUUGUUAUCCAUAUAUUGAAGUAUUACUUAUUGUUUUAGCACAUAGAAAUAGUUAUUGUGCCUUGUUAUCUAUUGGUAAGAAGUUGAAGUGCCUUGUUAAGCAGAAAUGACCCCAAUUUGAACAGGCCAUUCACCUUCCUGCUCAGGAAUGCCUGACCAUUAAGGUGAUGGGUAAGACCCUGGUAGCCAGUUGCUUAGGAAAGUUUCAAGUAAGGACAAAUGGUAUUGAUAAACGUCUUAGCCUACCUUGUGACCUUUAGCUGAACUGUGGUUAUUGGUAAGACGAGGCAAGUCUUAGCCUACUUUGUAAAGCUUGUACUUUGUAACCUUUAGCUGAACUGUGAACUUCGACUGCUGAAGAUGUAUGCAAGAUGUUACUCUUAAUGACUGCUUUCUAAUGAUGUGUGUAUCCCGUGGUUGGUUCAUGGCAACGUUUGCUUUUCAAAAAUUGUGCAAAAGGGGGAUCUAGUGCAAGCCAAGUUGUGCCUAUUUGAAACUUGCUUUGGGGUAAUCUUUUUGUUGGCAAAUAAAAGUUUUCCUUUCCUCUCCA